rnacentral:lncRNA from 10 species
GGGAGGCAGAGGUUGCAGUGAGCUGAGAUCACACGCCAUUGCACUCCAGCCUGGGCAACAAGAGCAAAACUCACCAAAGGAAAACUCCGUCUCAAAAAAAAAGAAAAAAAAAUUAUUUGGGCUGGUCCAAAGGCAAUGAAUUAUCUCAAUUGUUCAUAGUUAGUUACAGGUGGAACUCCUUGUUCUGCUCUUUUGCCUGACUACUGCACUUGACUAAUGUUAAAAAAAUGAAAUAAAAUAAUUCUUUGGGGGAAGAAGAAAGGUCAGUUCUUCCCACUUCCUGAUCUCUCAAGAGGAUGCAGUGUUCUUCGUGUGACAGCUCUGAGCCUUGGUUUCUUACUUCCACAGAAAGCACUACAAUUGGUCCCAAAUAUCCUUCUCUAGUCUCCCAUUUAUUUACCCUGAUUCCUCAUUCCACCCCAUUUCGCAUACCUAGCACCAGUCCUGCCGUAGGAUAGGAGCCUGCUUGUGUUCUGAAUGGACAGAUUAAUAUCUAAAUUCUGUUCAACCUCCAUGGCUCAAGAUCUCACCUCUUUCAUGGAAUCUAUUUCUACCAUGUCUAUUUCUGCCCUCCUUAAUCUCCUUUCCUCUACCGCCGAACUAAGCACUUAAUGUACUUACUGCUUUGUAUUAUUCAUAUCGUGUGUUGAUAUUAUUUCUUCAAUAAAAUCACAUGGGCAUAAACACAAAUCCUUGAGUUAUGAAGAAAGAAUGCAAAGCACUUCAUUAGAUAACCAUCUUCCAGCCUGUGUUUAGUGAUGGGCGGGGGUUAGGAAUAGGAAAGGGAGAGAAAUAAACUGACAUCUGUGGAGUGCCUAAUGUGUGCACUGAAGAUACAAUCCUUGCCCUGGAGGAACUCAGAACCUAGUGGAGGAGACUGACCCCACAAUCCAACCAGAGUUCAUCAGAAGGGAGCCGUUAGAGGGUUGUUAAGAGCAGGACACAUAUGCAUUUCAGCACCACCUUUUUGCUAGAAAAACUUACUUGGAUAAGUAACUAACCUGUCUGUUCCUUAAUUCUGUAAUAACUUGCCUCACAGUUAUUGAUUCUGAGGAUUAAAUGCAGGACCUGAUGCAUAAUAGAUACCCCCAGCUGGGCAUGGUGGCUCACGCCUGUAAUCACAGCAUUUUGGGAGACUGAGGCAGAAGGAUUCCUUGACCCAGGCGUUUAAGACCAGCCUGAGCAACAUGGGGAAACCCUGUCUGUAUUUAAAAUAAAAUUUAGACCGGGCACAGUGGCUCACGCCAGUAAUCCCAGCGAUUUGGGAGGCUGAGGCGGGCAGAUCACAAGUUCGAGUUUGAGACCAGCCUGGCCA